CUGGUCACUCCUUACCCUUCCCCCAAACUGCCCUUGAAAAACCCCUAUGCUAUGAGCUUUGAAUGAGAUGAUUUGAGUGGGAACUCCAUCUCCCACGUGGUGUGGCUGGCCUCGUGUCUACUAAAUGCUUUCUCUACUACAGUGCCAUGGGCUGUCUUUAUGCAGUGGGCAGGAAGAACCUCUCAGGCAGUUACAAUUGCAAAUCCACAAAUUAAUUAGACCCAGUGCUGUAACACACUAGAUACACGACUAUCAAGCUGAGAAGAAAGAGCCACUCUACGACAUUGAUUUAAAAAGUGACUUCAUGAGGACAAUGCUGAGAAAAUCAUCCUGGCAAGGGAAGAAGGUGGCCUGAUGUUUUAUAGCAGGUGACAGAUACUGAGUUCCCCAGUCUCCUGCACACAAAUUUGAGAUCGGCUUGAAUGACAGUGCUGAAUUCAGUGUUAGAGGUAGCCUCUAAAAGGGGCUCUCAUAAUCUCCACCUCCUGGAAUUCAUGCCUUUGUGUAAUACCUUGUCGAUCACUUGCAUCUGGAGAAAGCCACUGCCAUGACAUGAAGUAGCCCUGAAGUGACACCCAGAUGAGUAUGUUUAGAAAUAGAUCUUCUGUGGCCAGCCAACAGUGACGUGAGUGAGUUCAGAAGCAGAUCUUCACCUAGUUGAACCAUCUGAUGACAGCAGCCCCAAACAAGUUUGAUGGCUACUUUGUAAGACACAGACCCUAAGGUUGAAUCACCCAGAUAUAUCACUAUGAGAUUCCUGACUCACAGACAUGGUGAGGUAAUAAAUGCCUCUCGCCUGGGGUACUUUUUAAUGCAGCUAUAAAUAAUACAAUCAGGAUAAGAAGGGAUAAAGAUCGCCGGAAAAAAAUAAAAUGUGUCACAGACAAA